rnacentral:rRNA from 1 species
ACGAACGCUGGCGGCGUGCUUAACACAUGCCAGUCGCACGAAGCUUGGAUACGGUUUCUUCGGAUGAAGUAUGAUAUGACUGAGUGGCGGACGGGUGAUUAACGCGUUAGUAACCUGCCCUUCAGUGGGGGAUAGCGUUUGGAAACGAACGGUAAUACCGCAUCAUGUAUUUUGAUCGCAUGAUCGAAAUAUCCAAGAGUUGUCGCUGAAGGAUGGACUCGCGUCUGAUUAGGUAGUUGGUGCGGUAUCGGCCUACCAAGCCGACGAUCAGUAGCCGGACGGCGAGGUUGAUCGGCCACAUCGGGACUGAGACAGGGCUCGGACACCUACGGGAGGCAGCAGUGGGGAAUAGUGGACACUGGGCGCAAGCCUGAUGCAGCAACGCAGCGUGAAGGACGACGGUUUGCGGAUUGUAAACUUCUGUUCUUAGUGAAGAAUAAUGACGGUAGCUAAGGAGCAAGCCACGGCUAACUACGUG